CACACACAUACGUUUGAAGUACAUAUUCUACAGUUCGUAUCCUCCAUUCACCAUUUUACCAAGAUGGCAUGGAACAGGAUCUGUUGUUUUUUAUUGGUCAUCACGGUUUUCAGCGUGACGGCCUCAGCCUUUGUCACCUCACAAACAGACUGUGAACGUUUUGGCGGAAAGUGUGUGCAGCACCAGGAGUACUGUGACGCUAUGGUGGAGCCUCAUCACGACUGUGGAGUUCCUCACCACGUCUGCUGUGUGGAGGUGGUCAGGACGCUGCACUAGUACACAGACACACAGUGGUGCGUCAGACGCCCUAUACAUUUUGUAACAUUGGCCGUCCCCUGAUGUACUAUUGUUUUGCUUAGUUGGAGCAGAAUUAAAAAAUACGGUAAUUAAAAAACACCGA